GUCAUGGGCGCUUCCAGCAGCCAUCCCAAAUGGGCAAAAUCUUCACCUGCACUCCUCCCUCCCUACACGUUUCUGCAAUUACGAAUCACAAUCGUCCCCGUCAUCCCCCGAUCUUACGCGAACAGCCCUUUUCUUCUCUCCCCCUCAAUCUGUUCUAAUCUGCUUGGGUUAAUAUGGUGAGGAAUGGUAACCGGGUCGGUAGAAUCGACUGCAAAUUAUUAUUUUUCCUUCUGCAUGUGUAUAAAGUGAAUGUGGCCUCCCUCACCCUUACCUUUCUGUUUCCAAACAUUAUCUGGGGUCCUCAUCUACUGUGAUGGACUGAACUGAUCACAUAUAUAUCGUAUUUCCUUUUGUCGGCCCGCAGAGCACCCCACUAGAUUAUGUGAAUCGUGGCCCGGUUUAAUCCAUUGUAAUUAGACCAUGUAUUAAUGAUCACAACCUCUAAUGCAGUUAGCCACAGUAUCAGAAAAGAAGCAUUAAAAUGGUGUACGAUGUAACAUUGUCUUCUGCAUCUGCUGCCGCCUCUGCCUCCGACGAAAUGUCCCCUCCAAUCGCUGAAUUGUUAGCAGAGGAGACGAGCAACGCGACCAACUACCACGAGAGCAGUGAUCUGCUUCAGAACCUUGAGUGGUUCGAGGAGCAGCUUGGUGCCGAUCUCAAGUGGUCCUUUGCCAUUAACAGGUUCAGCUUAUUGACGGGAAGUUGCAGAGCGCCACAGUAAAUGAGUACAUUUAUCACGAGUGCUUAGUCCACCCUGCUCUUCUGCUGCAUGACAAGAUGGUUUCAGCCCCAAGCCCGUGUUUAUAAUAGGAGGCGGUGAGGAGUCCACUGUAAGAGAGGCGCUCAAGCACAAAACCAUCGAGAAAGUCAUCAUGUGUGACAUCGAUAAGGAUGUGGUGGAUUUGUGCAAACGGCAUUUAAUGGAAAAUCAGGGAUCCUUCAGUAAUCCAAAGCUUCAUGUUAUGACCAACGAUGCAAAGUCGGUAACAUGUCCCUGAAACCAUUGGUUGGACUUAUAUCUUCGUCUCAAUAACAAAUCUAAAAAAAUGGUAAAAUUUUUGGAGGGCUGAGCUGUAAAUGAGGUAUAGGAGACCUUGCAGACCCAGUUGAAAGAGGGCCCUGCAAUGACCUUCACACUAAGUCAAUCUAUAAGAAGGUCAUUAAGUCAAGGCUCACCAUCAAUGGCAUCUUCGUUACUCAAGCUGGCCACGCUGGAGUUCUAAGCCAUAAGAAGAUGUUCUCAUCAAUAUACAAUAUAAUGUCUUCAAGCAUAAGUCACUUCAUUGUUCGCUCAGAACCAAACAAUCUAAACAAAAUACAAGGGAAUAAUAUAUUGUGGCAUCCUUUCCCCUUACCUUGAGAUCUAGAUUGACGGGUUUUCCAAAUCAGCUAAUGAGACCUAAAUGAUUUUGAUUUGCAGAUGUCAUUGCAUACACUGCUCAUGUGCCAUCUCAUGCUGACUCCUGUGGAUGGGUCGUGGGAUCAGACCGGCCACUUAAUUUGUACGUCAACAUGAUCACCAAGAGGAUUGAGGGAAGAAUUGAAGAAGAGUUGCGGUACCUCAACAGCCCUUUCAUCAUUACAUCGACUACACUAAAUAAGACUUUGUACAAUAAGCUGUUGACAGAAACCAAGGUUUUCACGGAAGAGAACCUGAUGUUUGCUCAUGGACAAGGAACUGCUGACAGAUCGCAUGGUUCUGUCUGGGGUUGUCUUUGAUGCAUGGGAAUGCGAAAACAACUGAAUAAGUCAGGUAGUUUCAAAAACCUUCUGAUAGAUAUGUACAUGCAUCAAUCAAAUGGAACAUUUUGCUGAAAGACCCUCACUAUUUAUAAGAGGCUU